rnacentral:rRNA from 1 species
AUUGAACGCUGGCGGCAGGCCUAACACAUGCAAGUCGAGCGCGAAAGCACUUCGGUGUGAGUAGAGCGGCGGACGGGUGAGUAAUGCUUGGGAAUCUGCCCAGUAGUGGGGGAUAACGUGUGGAAACGCACGCUAAUACCGCAUACGUCCUACGGGAGAAAGCAGGGGAUCUUCGGACCUUGCGCUAUUGGAUGAGCCCAAGUCGGAUUAGCUAGUUGGUGGGGUAAAGGCCUACCAAGGCGACGAUCCGUAGCUGGUCUGAGAGGAUGAUCAGCCACACUGGGACUGAGACACGGCCCAGACUCCUACGGGAGGCAGCAGUGGGGAAUAUUGCACAAUGGGCGAAAGCCUGAUGCAGCCAUGCCGCGUGUGUGAAGAAGGCUCUAGGGUUGUAAAGCACUUUCAGUAGGGAGGAAAAGUUUAAGAUUAAUACUCUUGAACCUUGACGUUACCUACAGAAGAAGCACCGGCAAACUCCGUGCCAGCAGCCGCGGUAAUACGGAGGGUGCGAGCGUUAAUCGGAAUUACUGGGCGUAAAGCGCGCGUAGGUGGUUUGAUAAGCUAGCUGUGAAAGCCCCGGGCUUAACCUGGGAACUGCAGUUAGAACUGUCUGGCUAGAGUACAGUAGAGGGUGGCGGAAUUUCCUGUGUAGCGGUGAUUUGCGUAGAUAUAGGAAGGAACAUCAGUGGCGAAGGCGGCCACCUGGACUGAUACUGACACUGAG